rnacentral:rRNA from 1 species
CGUAGGUGGCAAGCGUUACUCGGAAUCACUAGGCGUAAAGCGCAGGUAGGCGGUUCGGUAAGUCUCUUGUGAAAGCUCCCGGCUCAACUGGGAGAGGUCAAGGGAAACUACCGGGCUAGAGUGUGGCAGAGGAAGCUGGAAUUCCCGGUGUAGCGGUGAAAUGCGUAGAGAUCGGGAGGAAUACCUAUGGCGAAAGCAGGCUUCUGGGCCGUCACUGACGCUGAUCUGCGAAAGCUAGGGGAGCAAACAGGAUUAGAUACCCUGGUAGUCCUAGCCCUAAACGAUGCUCAUUAGGUGUGGAAGGUAUCGACCCCUCCCGCGCCGAAGCUAACGCAUUAAAUGAGCCGCCUGGGGAGUACGGCCGCAAGGUUG